AAAAAAUAACCAUAUAAGAUAAAAUAUUUCAUAAUUCUGACUUAAGUGUCAAUAAACUUUAAAAUUAUCUUGCUGUGGUCAAAACACUUUUAAAGUAAAAUAAGCUAAACUUGAAUCUCUAACUCCCAGAAUUUUACAAAACAAAACAAAACAUGUACUUGAUUCACUUACUUCUGGAGAGAAGUAUACCUUAGCUCUUUCUCUGGAAUGUUUUUGACAUUUUGAUUCAGCCUAAAUAUUACUGCUAAUAACUCAGCCUGGCAUCUGGAAGAAAUGCUUUGAAAUAUAACUUUCUAAAUGGGGGUGAGGGGGAUUACUAUUUCAUACAUGUUGUUAUAUUAAAUUAUUAUGGUUAUUAAUUGGGCCGUGGAAAUAGAAUCUGUAAAGAAUCUUUGCAUAAUGAAAUUUGUAUCCUUUGUAAAUUAAACUAUUCUCUUGUACUUACAAAAGGUCAUUGUGGGGAGUAGGCCCUCUCCAAUCAGAAAAUUUUCAUAUUUUUUACUAUCACCUAAUAUACUUUUUCCAUGAAUACAUCCGUCUGUUUUAUUGCUGGUUGUUUCACAGUCAGUCCUAACAUUAAAAAUGUUUUUGGCAUCUCUUUUUUAUAACCUAUUAAUAACCUAAUAAUAAAACUUAAUGGUAAAUAUAAGUGAGAUUAGAUUGGAGCCAAAUAGAUUAAAAUGGAAUAAUUAGUGUUACUACUUUUCCACUUUGAGCCAAGAAUUAUUUCAUCACCAUUUCAACUCUUUAGAUAUUAUAUAUCUGGCCAUGCACUUUAAAUUUGAAAUAUUAAAUUUAUUUAUGCAAAAUACAGAAAUUGUUGUAUCAUAAAAUUGUGAUUAUUUUACAAAAUUAGACUUACCAGAAAGAAGUAUUUCCAAUACAAACAAAUGGCUAUAGUUUAUAAUUUAUAUUAUAACAUGUUUUCAAAAGGAACAUAUACAUUGUACUGUAAGACAGGUCCAUACCAUGUCCAUAGGUCUUGAGGAUUUUGAGAAUACAGGCUACACUUCCUCUAGAGACUACCACCAGUUGUGGAGGCCUAAAAUUUUUUCAAAACACUAGCAUAGCACUUGGAAUCAAAUUUUUAGCAUGGGAAGAACCUUAGAAAUAUUAUUCAGCCAGCAUUUCCCAUGCUGUAAGAAAUCAACAUACUACUUGCUAUGAGUCUUACAAAGAAGCACCAAUAUUGUAACUUUUUAAUUUUUUUUUUAAGAUAAAAAUGAAGCAACUCUGACCCAGUUGAGCAGCUGUACUUUCUUCCUCUAAGACAUCUCAUAAAUAUCUUAUGAUUCAUAAAGGGUUAUUUGGAAAACUAUUUGGAGAUUCACUACCCUGAUUUUAGAUGAAACUGCAUGGCAUUCACAUUCCUGGCCUGGGUUUCUAGAAAUUAUACCCUUAUUAUUUGUCUGACAUUGUAAACUGACAUUGUUAGGUAUUGGGUUCCCUUUGACCAAAACAACUUUAGCUGUAACAGUGAAAGUAGGUAUAUUAUUUGCCUAUAAAAUUUGCCUUAAGACCUGGUUUUCUCAGUAAAUAAAUACUUCAUUGUGGAUGUC